rnacentral:tRNA from 1 species
UCAUUAAGAAGCUAUGAACCAGCGCUAGCCUUUUAAGCUAGAGAAAGAGGACUAUUCAUCCUCCUUAAUGAU